AAUGACGGUACCGGGAGAAUAAGCCCCGGCUAACUCCGUGCCAGCAGCCGCGGUA
rnacentral:rRNA from 1 species